AGCUUUGCGCAGUGGCAGUAUUGUAGCCAAUGAGGUUUAUCCAAGGCACAAUUAUUGCUAACUGAAGAAAAAAAAAA
rnacentral:snRNA from 1 species